AACGCACAUUGCGCCCGCCAGUAUUCUGGCGGGCAUGCCUGUUCGAGCGUCAUUUCAACCCUCAGGCCCCCAGUGCCUGGCGUUGGGGAUCGGCACCCGGGCGAGCCGCGCAAGCGGCGCGCCCCGCCGGCCCCGAAAUCUAGUGGCGGUCUCGCUGUAGUCCUCCUCUGCGUAGUAGCACAACCUCGCAGCUGGAACUCGGCGGUGGCCCUGCCGUUAAACACCCCACUUCUGAAAGUUGACCUCGGAUCAGGUAGGAAUACCCGCUGAACUUAA
rnacentral:misc_RNA from 1 species